rnacentral:rRNA from 1 species
GCCUGAGAGGGUGACCGGCCACACUGGGACUGAGACACGGCCCAGACUCCUACGGGAGGCAGCAGUGGGGAAUAUUGCACAAUGGGCGCAAGCCUGAUGCAGCAACGCCGCGUGAGGGACGACGGCCUUCGGGUUGUAAACCUCUUUUAGUAGGGAAGAAGCGAAAGUGACGGUACCUGCAGAAAAAGCACCGGCUAACUACGUGCCAGCAGCCGCGGUAAUACGUAGGGUGCAAGCGUUAUCCGGAAUUAUUGGGCGUAAAGAGCUCGUAGGCGGUUUGUCGCGUCUGCUGUGAAAUCUGGGGGCUCAACCCCCAGCCUGCAGUGGGUACGGGCAGACUAGAGUGCGGUAGGGGAGAUUGGAAUUCCUGGUGUAGCGGUGGAAUGCGCAGAUAUCAGGAGGAACACCAAUGGCGAAGGCAGAUCUCUGGGCCGUAACUGACGCUGAGGAGCGAAAGCAUGGGGAGCGAACAGGAUUAGAUACCCUGGUAGUCCAUGCCGUAAACGUUGGGAACUAGAUGUAGGGUCCAUUCCACGGAUUCUGUGUCGCAGCUAACGCAUUAAGUUCCCCGCCUGGGGAGUACGGCCGCAAGGCUAAAACUCAAAGGAAUUGACGG